rnacentral:rRNA from 1 species
GACGAACGCUGGCGGCGUGCUUAACACAUGCAAGUCGAACGGAAAGGCCCUGCUUUUGUGGGGUGCUCGAGUGGCGAACGGGUGAGUAACACGUGAGUAACCUGCCCUUGACUUUGGGAUAACUUCAGGAAACUGGGGCUAAUACCGGAUAGGAGCUCCUGCUGCAUGGUGGGGGUUGGAAAGUUUCGGCGGUUGGGGAUGGACUCGCGGCUUAUCAGCUUGUUGGUGGGGUAGUGGCUUACCAAGGCUUUGACGGGUAGCCGGCCUGAGAGGGUGACCGGCGACAUUGGGACUGAGAUACGGCCCAGACUCCUACGGGAGGCAGCAGUGGAGAAUAUUGCAGAAUGGGCGGAAGCCUGAUGCAACAACGCCGCGUGCGGGAUGACGGCCUUCGGGUUGUAAACCGCUUUCGCCUGUGACGAAGCGUGAGUGACGGUAAUGGAUAAAGAAGCACCGGCUAACUACGUG